UACGUAGGGUGCGAGCGUUGUCCGGAAUUAUUGGGCGUAAAGAGCUUGUAGGCGGUUUGUCGCGUCUGCUGUGAAAAUCCGGGGCUCAACCCCGGACUUGCAGUGGGUACGGGCAGACUAGAGUGUGGUAGGGGAGACUGGAAUUCCUGGUGUAGCGGUGAAAUGCGCAGAUAUCAGGAGGAACACCGAUGGCGAAGGCAGGUCUCUGGCCCGUUACUGACGCUGAGGCACGAAAGCGUGGGGAGCAAACAGG
rnacentral:rRNA from 1 species